rnacentral:rRNA from 1 species
GAGUCGGACCUGCCCGGUGACCUACGGGUUAAACGGCCGCGGUACACUGACCGUGCAAAGGUAGCACAAUCACUUGCCUUUUAAUUGGAGGCUGGUAUGAAUGGUUUGACGAGGGCUGAGCUGUCUCUCCUGGAAUAUUUAAAAAUUAACUUCUAAGUGAAAAGGCUUAGAUUUAACUGAGGGACGAGAAGACCCUGUUGAGCUUUAGUGUGGAAUAAAAGGUUUAUUUUUAUUAGAAUAGAGGAUUUUAAGUUUAUUCUUACAUCUUUAGUUGGGGUGACUAGGGAACAUGGAAAGCUUCUCUGUUAAUUUGUAGAAAUUUGGUUUACUAACGAGUGAUCCAGCAUUGCUGAUUAUCGGAAAAAGUUACCACAGGGAUAACAGCGUAAUCUUUCUGGAGAGUUCACAUUGAAAGAAGGGUUUGCGACCUCGAUGUUGGAUUAAGGUGUCCUGAGGGUGUAGCGGCUUUCGUUGGUUGGUCUGUUCGACCAUUAAAACCUU